UGCAGGCUUCAUCGAAGCCCUUCAUGCUUGUCUGUAGCAUCGGGUGGUCAUAAGAAGCUGAGAGAAACCUUUCACCGACGGUCGCUGUUCAGUUUGAAUGUAGCUGCUGCAGCAACAUUAAGGGAAAGGACAUUU
rnacentral:snoRNA from 12 species